UACGAGGGGGGCGAGCGUUGUUCGGAAUUAUUGGGCGUAAAGGGUGCGUAGGCGGUUCGGUAAGUUUCGUGUGAAAUCUUCGGGCUCAACUCGAAGCCUGCACGAGAUACUGCCGGGCUUGAGUGUGGGAGAGGUGAGUGGAAUUUCCGGUGGAGCGGUGAAAUGCGUAGAGAUCGGAAAGAACACCAACGGCGAAAGCACUCUGCUGGGCCGACACUGACACUGAGAGACGAAAGCUAGGGGAGCGAAUGGG
rnacentral:rRNA from 1 species